rnacentral:scRNA from 1 species
GAGGCUGCCGUGGCACUUACUGAGCGAACCAU